ensembl:lncRNA
GCUCAGGUGCACAUUCAAGUGUUCAUUUUCUGUAUACACACGUGUGGCAGAAUGAGCCUGUUCAAAACUACACGCACAAAUUUACACACACACGCAAACACACAAAUGGUCAAUCAGAGAAUGGCCUGUCAUCUUUCUCCCUCCGACGCUCCUCCCUCCUUAAUAACAUCAUUAAUCAGGAGUGCCAGCGCAGAGAUAUGGGUCGAUAAACAAUUUGGUGCAACAUGCCUAAUGGAAACCGGAGUCAUUUAAUAUAUUCACCUGCUUGUAAAUCCUAGAGAUUAGACCCUGCUGUCUGGAACCCGCCCACCAAAGGUAUUAUGCAAUACUUGAUACUCUAAGGUUUUAUCACUCAGCAUACUCAACACCUGUUGCACAACAGGAUCUCUGCUGCCUUUUACAAGGUUGGUUGACGUCUUUGAUUCAAGUUUGAUGUUAAUGAAAACACUUACAAUAAAACAAAUAUUUUUUCUCUUCAAGAAUCUAUGUCCCAAGCAGUUUCUGAUGUGGCUGGAAGGCAACGGUCUCAGACAAAUGCGCCUCUUAAACUGGGAUAAUCAUCUUACAUUUUAGGUAAUACAAUACAAGAGUGCUUCUAGAUAUAAUCAAAAGACAUAAAUCUUACUCAAUUAAUAAGAGCAUGUUUAAUUAGGAACCAUGGAUUUUGAAAAAUAACUAGAAAAUGCAUUUCCUGCUGAAAAUGAGUUGGAAUGAAAUAGCUGAAAGCUGAAAUGACUUUUAAAAAAUAGCUGAAAUUACAGAAAGUUGAGGGGAAUUUGAAUACAUUUGCUGAAAUUACAGAUAUUAGAAAAGGCAAGACAAGGCAAUUUUAUUUGUAUAGCACUUUUCAUACACAAGGCAGACUCAAAGUGCUUCACAUUAUAACAUUUCAUACAAUAAAGUGAAAUAAAAUGCAGGAACUAAAAGACAAUUAAAAACAGCAAAUAAAAUUAUAAAUUAAAAUCUUAUUUAAAUUGUUUAAUUAAAGGCAGAAGUUAAAAGUGCAAUGUAGGUAAAAUUUAGCAGAAGGGGAAGCUGAACAUAAAAGUUUUCAGUCUUGUUUUAAACGUGGUCAGAGUUGGGGCAAGUCUUAAAUCUUCAGGAAGUUUAUUCCAGCUGUUUGUUGCGUAGUAACUAAAUGAUGCUUUCCCAUGAUUUGCAUUUACUCUGGGAAUCACUAACAGAUUGGUGUCAGAAGAUCUUAGUGAUCUUGAAGGCUUAUGUAGUAGAAGCAUAUCAGUGAUAUACUUUGGCCCUAAACCAUGUAGUGAUUUAUAUGUGAGCAGUAGGAUUUAAGAAUAGAAGAAGUAGAAGUUAAGAAUUGGUGUAAUGUGCUCACAUUUUUUGGUCUUUGUUAGAACUCUAGCAGCAGCGUUCUGAACAAGCUGGAGCUGCCUGACAGGUCUUGAGCUGACAUGAGCCCUCUAAGUCGUGCUACAUUUUUGACGUGGUAGUAGGCCGAUUUUGUUACUGAUUUGAUCUCUCCAAGUGUAAAUCAGAAUCCAUAAUAACCCCCAGAUUUCUGGCUUUAUUUGAUGUUUUCAGGGACAGAGAGUGAAGGUGUUGGGUUACUUUAAACUUUUUUAGCACCAAAUACAAUGAUCUCAGUUUUGUCUUCAAAAGCUGAAAUUAAUUUGAAAUUGCUGAAAAUACAGAAAUGGGAGAAGCUGCAUGGAAUUUCAAUAGAUUUGAUGAAAAAGCAGAAAUGAAAAAAGCUGAAAUAAAUGUGAAAUAUUAAAAAAAAAAUAC